rnacentral:lncRNA from 1 species
AAAACUUUGGGCUUGGCAUUAGGAGAGCCUCGGCUGAAAUCCGAGGUUUUGAACGCGAUUUUUUCCGACAGAAGCUGGGCGCUUUCUUUCAUGUAAUGCUGCAGCUGAGCCUGGGACAGGUCUUUGAAAGCUACUCCAGAAGGGUAUUUCUCCACCGCCGGGACCACCAGUUUAUUCCUUUCGGCUAAAUACGUUUUUGGCUGCGGGUGCAAAGGGGAACUGAGGAAGUAGGAGGCCACCGGGUGGAUGUUCACGCCGGCUGCCGGGUGGCAUGGGCCGUCACCUCGGUUCAGGUAGCACAAGGCGCCCAUGGCGUGGAAUGAAGAGUGGUUGACCACACGCGGCCUUACCAGCUUGUACUGCUGCAGCGGCAGCGCGUCGCGGGCCAGGUCGCCCUUGAGACUCAGUGCGCAGUUGAGCAGGUCGCUGCAGCUGAAUGCGGGAGCCGAGGGCACCGCCGCGGGCGCCGCCGGGGCCUCCAGACUGGCCUUCCGCGGCUCGGAGCCCGUCACUCCUGCCUUGGGGCUCGUGUCGUAGGCCACAGGCACGAAGGGGAUCAUGCAGGGGAUCGACGAGUUGAGAUGCAGAGAGUGCUUGGGUUCCCCCUUGGGAUCACCAGCCGAACCUGCCUGCCCAGCCCAAUGGACUCCUGCCAGCCCAUCGCAGAGUUCUUGGCGCACCAAUGACUCGGGGACAAUCACUACUUAUUUCUAUCAAUAGAAAGUGUUGUGUCAAUAACGCAGCCAAGAUCUCGCCAAUCGUUAACUUCCAAGAGGAGAAGGCACCCCCCUUUUGCUUCCUCUGCCUUUCUAAUUCUCAAUCUGCUUAACCAGGCUUUAGAGGCCAAGCAAAUCUGAGAUCAAUUUUCUCGUUUAGCUCUAAGUGACAUCAUCUAAAAUCAUUGUGCAAGGGCUAAAUAAGGAAACGGAGUCUAAUUCAGGGGCAAACGCCAGGCUAUAUUUAUCAAACGCCAAGCUCCAGAAAGCCUCGGCUAGGAAGCCUCGGCAGUGAAAUCCGAGGGCUCGGGGUUGCCCGCUCCCGGAAUCCCGGAGUCUCCGCGGCCCGAACCGAGUCUGGACCAUUUAGAAGACGCCGGCAGGUAACUGGCCUCCCCAAACGCCCCGAAAAUUAAAAGCCUUAGGAGGCUUGUUCUGUGUUUGUGGUUUUGUAAAGGCAAUGCCCGCGGCAAUAGGCCUGGGAAAGUCGCACUUUCAUCCACAAAGUUGAGGAGUUGCAAGGAAUAAUUGGGUGUCACACCACAAGCAACCUUGACUCGAUCGGACCCCACCCAGGAUACACACAGACGCGCGCGCGCGCACGCUUCCGAGUUUCCAUUGAGAGUCUGGAAAGAGCAUUUCUUUCUUAAGUACCUGCGCUCAGCUAGAGCUCUCCCGGAGCAUUUUAAAUACUGAAUGCCGAGCGGAGAAGGGAAACAGAGUGUAUUAAUCCCCACUCCGGUUGCCGGUGUCUGCAAGCCUCCUCUAAGCAGCGCAGGCGGCAGCCUGGAUGUCUGUGCGCAUCAAGGAGACUUGCCGGCGCCAGAGUUGUGUCCACAGGUGCACUUGUGCCUCCCAAAGAGCGCGCGUAGAGACCAUUUCCCCUGCAACGCCCCCCAGCCGAACACCCGCCGGGUGUGGCACCUCGGCCGAAACUCCUGGGGCGGCGCGGUGGAGCGUGUGGAGGUUUCCGGGAAGACGCCUACGGCUGCGGCUCCGACUGUGCGGGCUCCCGCCGCCCAGGCAAGAGCGUCCAGGAGCGCGCUGGAAGCUGCGGCGCGCACCUUCCCCGGCGCAGUCUCUUGCCAGCCGGCGAUCACGCAGAGCUGAACCCCGCAGCUAGGCGCGCAGGAAGGGCUGCACAGAGUUUGAAGACACGGCAGCUGUAAGCUGGCGUGAGGAGGCCAAAGGAGCGCGCAGAGCUGCAAGCAAAGGGCGGUGGGGCCUGGACCCUGAAGUGAGUGGCCGACCGCAGCAGCUCAAGGUGCCAUCUGCCUGGCAAGCUACCCGGGUCCCUCCGCCCCACUCUAACUUUCCGCGAAAAUCAGUUCCGCCUCUGCCCCAAGAGCCAAGAGGGGUGGAAAGGAAGAGAGCUUGGGCUGGGAACGCGCCUGAUGUCUAACAGAAAGGCAGUGGCAGCUGGGCAAAGAGGCGCUACACUCCAAGGCGGCCCUUUGGAACCGUCCUUGGCCCGGGUGCACCUACUUUGGAUUCGCCCAGACUGCAAAUUUUUCUUUCCUUUUGCUGGGGCCACGGGACAGAGCACCUGGGCAGAGCAAGCGGAGAGGCGCCACAUCCCCGAGAGGCGCUUCGUAGUUGUCCUUGGACCGGGCGCAGACACUCAGUAUUGGUCAGCGCUGGAAAUUUUCUUUCCUUUUGCUGUUGGGGCCGCAGAACCAGUCUCCUCCUUUCCCCUGCUCAGACAAAGGGCACGGGAAGGGCUUUGCUGGGGCAAAGGGGGGUGGGGGGUUCUCUGUCCCACGACAGAUGGGUCGCGGUUAAGACUUUAAUUGCUGACUUUUGGGCCGGAUCAGAUUCCUUUUCCUACCUGCCACUUCCCAGCAGCGAAAAAUCCCCCUCCUGCUGCACUCCUCCGCCACCGGGCUAGGUUGAAAGGAAAAAGCCAAGAAGCGCGAAGCAGCCCGGCUCUGGAAGGCUUUGGAGAGUCCAGCUGACUUGUACACAAUUCGCGGCCUCUGGAGCCUUACCUGCCUUCUUGACUGAAUGCCACCAGUUCGUUUUACGCUUGUGGCUUUUUGUUGAAGUCCCUAUCAUAAGCAAAUGCAGUUUCUGGCUAUGGUUACUGCAAUUCGAAAUAAAAGGCCUGUGAGGUGUGUCCCUCCAGACUGAGAGGCUAUGACUCAGGGUUGGACUUUAUGGAAAAAAAGAAGUUUAUAAAACAAGUAACCCAGUUUCUCCAACCUUUACUGUGGAGCAACAGCGUCAAGCAACAAAACCCAGCAAAGUUUUGCUUGUCACUUACAAGGGUGUUACUGAAAUCUGGAAGGCGAACAAUUAGAAGAUAGCCCAAACAUGCUCUAUUGCUCUACACUGAAAUACUUGCCUCCAAUAAUAGAAAAAACCUGUUUUCGUGCAAUUGAUUGAUUAGCGUUCUGCAGCAGUCCCUGGACAAUUUUAAAGACAUUUUGUGUUUGUGGCCAAAAUUAGAAACAAGCAGACACACACACAAAACAACCAUAUUCAAGACACGGUUCGACUGUUUCCUUGACACUACCCACGAAGUUUAAAGCAUUUUUUAUGUUAUUUUCAAACUUUCUUAAGUGAUCCCAUGAAAUAAAAGUCGAUAAUAGAAAUUA